GGUAUCGGAUAGUUGCCCCCGCGUAGCUCUGUAGCGAAGUGGGGGAGGAAAGUCCGAACAUUCAGUUCUCUGUGUAUGCAUAUGCAUGUAGAGAACAAGGGUAAUGGGUAAUUCCCAUCGGGAGUAAUCCUAGAGAUGCGAACAGAAACGACCCGGUUAAGUCCGGCUGAAACGCGCAAAAUUCUUACCUGAAUGCAAGGCCGUGCCCCGCGAAGCUUUAUGCGAAGUGGGGAGUGCCGCUAGAUCCUAACGGCGACGUUGGGACAAGAUAAAUAACUAUCGAUUACAGAAUUCGGCUUAUAGAUACCCAAA
rnacentral:RNase_P_RNA from 2 species